rnacentral:rRNA from 1 species
UACGUAGGGUGCGAGCGUUGUCCGGAAUUAUUGGGCGUAAAGGGCUCGUAGGCGGUCUGUUAAGACCGAUGUGAAAUCCCCGGGCUUAACCCCGGGCCUGCAGUGGGUACGGGCAGACUAGAGUGCGGUAGGGGAGACUGGAAUUCCUGGUGUAGCGGUGAAAUGCGCAGAUAUCAGGAGGAACACCGGUGGCGAAGGCGGGUCUCUGGGCCGUAACUGACGCUGAGGAGCGAAAGCGUGGGGAGCGAACAGG